CUUUCGUGAUGAGCCAGGGACAGAACGUUACCGUGACCAGAGUUCACCCCCCUCCUGCCUCUCCCCAGAUCCGAUUGCGUUAGGGCCUGCGGCGGCUGUCGAAGCCCGGCGAAUUCGUGAUAGAAGAUGCUGGCCUUGAGCUCUUGCUGGAUUUGGUCGAUCGGUUACCCCACUGGAGGAGUUCGCCGACAGUUUUGAAAGCCCAGAUCUGGCCCCUCUGGCAUUGUUAAUGCCAGACCAAACCAACCCUGCCAUUCAGGCGGACUCGAAUGCUGCUCUGGAUGCAGGCAAUAAGUUGGCGUCGGCGGGCCGGGGAGGCCGCACUGUGGAGAGCGGUGGCGUCGGGAGGCAUCUCCGACUGUCCGCGCAGCCAAGGUCAACCCAAAGGCGCCUGGCUGGACAAAGAUGUUACGCCUCCGUAAUGCGCCACCUGACCGGACGCCAUGUCCUUCUAGGAUGAGUGCACUAGAGCAGUCAAUUUGCAAAUGUGCAGAAGAGACUACGAAAAGUGUAAUUGGACUGGAACUCGUCUGAGUUUUGAUUCACUGGGCGAGACGUGCGACCUCUACAACUUGUAUCCGUGGGAGAUCGGAUUUGAAAUUCGGGGAAGCCGGAGGCGGAGAAUAGUAGAUCUUGCAGAUGCGAGUGCCCUGCAUUGAUAAGGCUCUUGCCGACAGCUGAUAACAGUUGGUACAUGACAGAGCACUGUGAGGGGCACAACCAUUCCAUGUCUCUAACGAUGGGAGAGGGCGAUAUAUAUCGACGUCUAUUAUUAAAGAUUUGCUAAAGCAAUUAAGGGAAAACAAUGUCAACCUCUGAAAGGUGCACAACAUCAUAGACAACUUCGUCGGCCGAUGAUGACGCGAGGAAGACUCUGGAGGUCUUCGCAGCAUUGUCGCCGGGGACCUUUACUUCACAUACUGAGUUUUGGCAGACAGUGAUAGCAGGGUGAAGAACUUUGUUUGAUGUGGACUAAUGGAAGAGCAGAAUGCAGUACCGGUUCUUCGGGGAUGUGAUAAUCUUCGAAACAACAUAUAGGACCAACCUCUAUGACAUGACGUUUGGGCUAUUGGUGAACAAUCAUUUUUAAAGCAUUAUCCUGGCUGGGGUACUGAUAUGCUACUUUAUAAAUACAAUUUGAGGACGAUGGGGAACACAGAAGGCGGUGACACCCGAGCAAGUAUAGAGGUUCAGUUCCCGAACACGUCGAGCUUGGGGUCGACAGCGAGCACUUGGAGCACGAACUUGACGCCGGAGCAAGGAGGCCAUGGCGUCGACGAGGUGAGCGGAAAUAUUGGUUCUGUUGUGCUGUCUGUUGGUCUCCCGAACUGGGAGAGGUGAUACAGCCGGAACUCUCUUCAGAGAAGAUUUUGAAGCUAACUGGAUGAUAGGGCCAGAGAUGAUACCCUUGAAGGAUUCAGCAAGCAUGACCCAGCUGCCGUCGGGUUGGCCAGCUAAGAUGGUGUAAGACUCUGAUGUGGACAACGGGUCACGCGUGAUGUAUGUGGCCGGAGAGGUUGAUUCCGGUGGAGUAGAGGGAGUUGAGCAAAGUACUGUGUUUACUCUGCUCCCGUUGUGCAAGAUGGGCACACCAUCUUCAACAGUUUGUUGUAGUGUGUGUGCGGUGUGCUUGAGGUCGCAGACAAAAAGAAAACUCGUCGAGUGUGAUUACGUCAUGAUUUAUAUGAAGGGAAACUCUAGUUUGUGCUUGUAAAACCCAGUGGCUGAGUACGCGCACAGUUGCAUCUCGUUGACUGUAAAGUUUUUAAAUCUAACCAAAAUUGUUUUUUUA